rnacentral:rRNA from 1 species
AGAGUUUGAUCAUGGCUCAGGACGAACGCUGGCGGCGUGCUUAAAACAUGCAAGUCGAACGAGACCUUUGGUCUAGUGGCGAACGGCGGAGUAAUACAUAAGCAACUUGCCUCAAAGACCGGGAUAGCCCCUCGAAAGAGGGAUUAAUACCGGAUGUGGCCUUUUGUGGGCAUCCACGAAAGAUUAAAACGAGUAAUCGGCUUUGAGAGGGGCUUGUGGCCUAUCAGCUUGUUGGUGGGGUAAUGGCCUACCAAGGCUUCGACGGGUAGCGGGUCUGAGAGGAUGAUCCGCCCGACUGGGACUGAGACACGGCCCAGACUCCUACGGGAGGCAGCAGUUGGGAAUCUUGCACAAUGGGCGAAAGCCUGAUGCAGCGACGCCGCGUGGAGGACGAAGUCUUUCGGGAUGUAAACUCCUUUUGCCAGGAACGAUAAUGACGGUACCUGGUGAAUAAGCCCCGGCUAACUACGUGCCAGCAGCCGCGGUAAGACGUAGGGGGCGAGCGUUGUCCGGAUUUACUGGGCGUAAAGAGCGCGUAGGCGGCCUAUUAAGUCAGGUGUGAAAUCUCCAGGGCUCAACCCGGAAACUGCACUUGAUACUGAUGGGCUGGAGUGUCGGAGAGGUGAUUGGAAUUCCUGGUGUAGCGGUGACAUGCAUUGAUAUCAGGAGGAACACCCAUGGCGAAGGCAGAUCACUGGCCGACAACUGACGCUGAGGCGCGAAAGCGUGGGUAGCAAACAGAAUUAGAUACUCUGGUAGUCCACGCCCUAAACGAUGGAUACUAGACGUCAGGGGUAUCGACCCCCCUGGUGUCGUAGCUAACGCAUUAAGUAUCCCGCCUGGGGACUACGGCCGCAAGGUUGAAACUCAAAUGAAUUGACGG